rnacentral:lncRNA from 1 species
CUGUCGUCUCUCGCUUUCCUUUGCCUUCUCCUCUGUUCUCCCCUCUAGGCCCCAACCUUGCACGCAAAUUGCAAUAAUACAGUGUGGUGCUUUUACUUGAUGAUGCCUAGUAGGUCAUUGACCCUUGGUUCCUGGGAUUGAAGUCUUAGCGUAGUGGUAUAUCUCAUCGAAGACGAGAAUUAUCACAAAUUUUAAGUGUCUGAUUCUCGCCGCGUCAUAUUAUUUCUCAAAUUUCAGCUUGAUUUUGAUUUCUUGCUCCUGAUUCGGGGGAUGCAUACCGCAAUGUAUUUACCAGACCUGAAAUCGAAAAGUGUACUUGUUGACUCAGAGCGGCCGGUGCCUCUGGAUACCAAAAUUACAACUGUAUUUUAAGCAGUAAAACGACUUAGCUGGAAGUAUAUAAAACACUGGCUCAUGAAGUGACGAGUAGUCUUUUAGCUGGAAGUAUAUAAAACACUGGCUCAUGAAGUGAUCAGUAAGUCUUGUCUUUUCGAGAAGAGUAAAUUUUCGAAAUAGAGAAUGAAACAAGAAAAAGAAAUUACACGGCAAAUUAAAAAAUUUGGGGUGAGAGAGGCUCGAACUCUCGACCUCAGGAUCACUCGCUUUAGCUAUGAGACCUACGCGCUAGCCAACUGCGCCACCACCCCUUUGAUGUUCUAAGAGAUAUUGUAAACUAAUUAUGACGAGCGUACUGUGAUCUGUAGACUAUUUUCAGCCUAAAACUCGCAUCUAUUGCUUUUUUGCGGGGACGCAUCUAGUAUUUUAAUCCAUGAUUUGUACUGGAUCAAGAGAUCCUACAGUAUACAGUGAUAUAAUAGCCUAACUGGACAUAAAAAUGAACCUAAACACAGAGGAGAUUAUAUAUUAAAAUUCUUACUGAAGCCAUAGCAAACUCGUCAUCGUUUCACUACCAUAGCUCUCACCAAUCAGUGGCUGAGCUCAAGACAAUGUGUGUUCAUAUUUCCCUAUUAAUCACAUUUUAUUAAAGUUUUUUUUACUUUAGUUAAAGCAUAUAUGUGUUUUCCUGUGUUUAUUAUACAUAAGUAGUCAACCAUAUUGCAUAAAUAAUGGGUGUACAAAUGUAGUCAAUCAUUGGUAGUACUGCUCAGGUGGAGACGUAGUACCGCCCGGAGAGGUACUACCGCUCAUGGGGAGAGGUAGUGCCGCUUACUACUUAUAAGAGGUACUACGGCUCUAUUACCGUAAAACCCGACACGAAAAAAAAA